GGGAAUUUUCCGCAAUGGGCGAAAGCCUGACGGAGCAAUACCGCGUGAGGGAAGAAAGCCUACUGGGUUGUAAACCUCUUUUUUCAGGGAGGAAAAAAAUGACGUGUACCUGAAGAAUAAGCAUCGGCUAACUCCGUGCCAGCAGCCGCGGUAAGACGGAGGAUGCAAGUGUUAUCCGGAAUUACUGGGCGUAAAGCGUCUGUAGGUGGUUUAAUAAGUCAACUGUUAAAUCUUGAGGCUUAACUUCAAAACAGCAGUCGAAACUAUUAGACUAGAGUAUAGUAGGGGUAAAGGGAAUUUCCAGUGGAGCGGUGAAAUGCGUAGAUAUUGGAAAGAACACCGAUGGCGAAAGCACUUUACUGGGCUAUUACUAACACUCAGAGACGAAAGCUAGGGUAGCAAAUGGGAUUAGAUACCCCAGUAGUCAAUCGAA
rnacentral:rRNA from 1 species